GACGAACGCUGGCGGCGUGCUUAACACAUGCAAGUCGAACGGAAAGGCCCUGCUUUUGUGGGGUGCUCGAGUGGCGAACGGGUGAGUAACACGUGAGUAACCUGCCCUUGACUUUGGGAUAACUUCAGGAAACUGGGGCUAAUACCGGAUAGGAGCUCCUGCUGCAUGGUGGGGGUUGGAAAGUUUCGGCGGUUGGGGAUGGACUCGCGGCUUAUCAGCUUGUUGGUGGGGUAGUGGCUUACCAAGGCUUUGACGGGUAGCCGGCCUGAGAGGGGGACCGGCCACAUUGGGACUGAGAUACGGCGCAGACUCCUACGGGAGGCAGCAGUGGAGAAUAUUGCACAAUGGGCGGAAGCCUGAUGCAGCAACGCCGCGUGCGGGAUGACGGCCUUCGAGUUGUAAACCGCUUUCGCCUGUGACGAAGCGUGAGUGACGGUAAUGGGUAAAGAAGCACCGGCUAACUACGUG
rnacentral:rRNA from 1 species